AGAUUGAACGCUGGCGGCAGGCCUAACACAUGCAAGUCGAGCGGCAGCACGGGUACUUGUACCUGGUGGCGAGCGGCGGACGGGUGAGUAAUGCCUAGGAAUCUGCCUGAUAGUGGGGGAUAACGCUCGGAAACGGACGCUAAUACCGCAUACGUCCUACGGGAGAAAGCAGGGGACCUUCGGGCCUUGCGCUAUCAGAUGAGCCUAGGUCGAUUAGCUAGUUGGUGGGUAAUGGCUCACCGAAGGCGACGAUCCGUAACUGGUCUGAGAGGAUGAUCAGUCACACUGGAACUGAGACACGGUCCAGACUCCUAAGGGAGCAGCAGGUGGGAAUAUUGGACAAGUGGGACGAAAGCCUAGAUCCAGCCAGUGCCGCGUGUGUGAAGAAGGUCUACGGAUUAGAAAG
rnacentral:rRNA from 1 species